CUCCUUGUUGCACAGGGCCUUACAAAAACAAGAGCAGAGCAUGGGAUACGUUAUAAACACUUUUAAUGGAUCUCCAUUAAAAAAAAAAUAAAACAGUUUCAAAGCAUUCUUUACACUGAGGGUGUAAAUAUCCCUUUACGAAUAAAUGGUGCUGUUAUACCAUGAGCCCUGCUCUCAAUCACCCUUCGAUGAAGAAUAAUUAUUUAGCUCCUUUAGAGAGGUUAAAACAACCACAUGGAGGGCAUGGGAAACUUCUUUUCCAUGCAUAAUUCCAGCCAGCAGGCAAAUUGGUAAGCAAAAGCAGAUAACAUCAGCUUAAAUACAAGAAGGAAAAGAGCUAGCGGACAGCCUAGGCACGAGUGCCAUGAAUACAAUCUGGCCAUGAAUAAAGUUAGGCUGCAAAUCAGGAGAACAUUUCCAAACGUCAGAGCAGUGACACUGCAGAGCAGUCUUCUGAUACGAGCAGUGGGCCAAAAUAUUGUCCAGGUUCAAAUCAGCAUCUCAGGGUUUGCUGAAGGAGACUGCAAGGUGUGGCUGAGCUUUGGACCGUGAUGCAGCGAUCCCUCCCAGUCCAGCACUCCUGAGUCUCUCCUGGGGCAGCCAAAGGUGCAGAUCCCACUGUCAAAGAGGAAGAGGCACUGUCUGACAUGUCAGCACAACAUGACAACAUUCCCAGCCCUGGUGGCAACCUCAUGAAAUACCCUCAUACCACAUUCCUGUGGCGCAGGGCCAGCCAGCUUCUCCCUGGUGGACACUCCGAACCCAGCGGUGCUGUGAUGGGGUCCCUGCGCCUCCAGUGCAGCAACCUGAGGCUGAUGGAGCAGGGCUCAGCCCGCCUGCUGGCACUGUGUGAGCACCUCCUGCAGCCCUGCAACUGCUGCCUGCAGGGCACCGCUGUCACCAUUCUACCACUGCACCUCUCGAGGGACUCAAGCUGCAGAAAUGCCUCAUCUUCCUCAAGGACGUGGUGCACCUCUCUGCCUGCUGUGCCUGCCGUCACGCUGUGGAGAGUAGGAGGAAUUUUCCAUCAGGGUUUUAGAGAGCGAGCUGUGUGUCGGAGGCUGCCGCCUUCUCAUUUCUCCAAGGUGGAUGGCACAGCACCUUGGAGUUUCUGCAGGGCACCAAAGCCACCACCACAAGGCCGCACAAGGGGCACGUGACGGGGUUCUGCCCCCAGCCUAAGGGCACCAGCACAACCCCCUCUGCCUCAGUGACUCUGGGCACAAAGCAGCCCCUCCACAGAGCUGCCAAUGCCCCAUGUCCAGCCCCAUAUCCCUCUGAGCCCUGACUGGGG
ensembl:lncRNA